rnacentral:rRNA from 1 species
GCGAGCGGCGGAUGGGUGAGUAACACGUGGGGAACCUGCCCCUAAGUCUGGGAUACCAUUUGGAAACAGGUGCUAAUACCGGAUAAUAAAGCAGAUCGCAUGAUCAGCUUUUGAAAGGCGGCGUAAGCUGUCGCUAAGGGAUGGCCCCGCGGUGCAUUAGCUAGUUGGUAAGGUAACGGCUUACCAAGGCGACGAUGCAUAGCCGAGUUGAGAGACUGAUCGGCCACAUUGGGACUGAGACACGGCCCAAACUCCUACGGGAGGCAGCAGUAGGGAAUCUUCCACAAUGGACGCAAGUCUGAUGGAGCAACGCCGCGUGAGUGAAGAGGGUUUUCGGAUCGUAAAGCUCUGUUGUUGGUGAAGAAGGAUAGAGGUAGUAACUGGCCUUUAUUUGACGGUAAUCAACCAGAAAGUCACGGCUAACUACGUGCCAGCAGCCGCGGUAAUACGUAGGUGGCAAGCGUUGUCCGGAUUUAUUGGGCGUAAAGCGAGCGCAGGCGGAAAAAUAAGUCUAAUGUGAAAGCCCUCGGCUUAACCGAGGAACUGCAUCGGAAACUGUUUUUCUUGAGUGCAGAAGAGGAGAGUGGAACUCCAUGUGUAGCGGUGGAAUGCGUAGAUAUAUGGAAGAACACCAGUGGCGAAGGCGGCUCUCUGGUCUGCAACUGACGCUGAGGCUCGAAAGCAUGGG